UCAUCUCCGGGGGUAGAGCACUGUUUCGGCUAGGGGGCCAUCCCGGCUUACCAACCCGAUGCAAACUGCGAAUACCGGAGAAUGUUAUCACGGGAGACACACGGCGGGUGCUAACGUCCGUCGUGAAGAGGGAAACAACCCAGACCGCCAGCUAAGGUCCCAAAGUCAUGGUUAAGUGGGAAACGAUGUGGGAAGGCCCAGACAGCCAGGAUGUUGGCUUAGAAGCAGCCAUCAUUUAAAGAAAGCGUAAUAGCUCACUGGUCGAGUCGGCCUGCGCGGAAGAUGUAACGGGGCUAAACCAUGCACCGAAGCUGCGGCAGCGACACUGUGUGUUGUUGGGUAGGGGAGCGUUCUGUAAGCCUGUGAAGGUGUGUCGUGAGGCAUGCUGGAGGUAUCAGAAGUGCGAAUGCUGACAUAAGUAACGAUAAAGCGGGUGAAAAGCCCGCUCGCCGGAAGACCAAGGGUUCCUGUCCAACGUUAAUCGGGGCAGGGUGAGUCGACCCCUAAGGCGAGGCCGAAAGGCGUAGUCGAUGGGAAACGGGUUAAUAUUCCCGUACUUGGUGUUACUGCGAAGGGGGGACGGAGAAGGCUAUGUUGGCCGGGCGACGGUUGUCCCGGUUUAAGCGUGUAGGUGUGUGUUCCAGGUAAAUCCGGUUCACUUUAACACUGAGGCGUGAUGACGAGGCACUACGGUGCUGAAGCAACAAAUGCCCUGCUUCCAGGAAAAGCCUCUAAGCAUCAGGUAACAUCAAAUCGUACCCCAAACCGACACAGGUGGUCAGGUAGAGAAUACCAAGGCGCUUGAGAGAACUCGGGUGAAGGAACUAGGCAAAAUGGUGCCGUAACUUCGGGAGAAGGCACGCUGACACGUAGGUGAAGUGAUUUACUCAUGGAGCUGAAGUCAGUCGAAGAUACCAGCUGGCUGCAACUGUUUAUUAAAAACACAGCACUGUGCAAACACGAAAGUGGACGUAUACGGUGUGACGCCUGCCCGGUGCCGGAAGGUUAAUUGAUGGGGUCAGCGCAAGCGAAGCUCCUGAUCGAAGCCCCGGUAAACGGCGGCCGUAACUAUAACGGUCCUAAGGUAGCGAAAUUCCUUGUCGGGUAAGUUCCGACCUGCACGAAUGGCGUAAUGAUGGCCAGGCUGUCUCCACCCGAGACUCAGUGAAAUUGAACUCGCUGUGAAGAUGCAGUGUACCCGCGGCAAGACGGAAAGACCCCGUGAACCUUUACUAUAGCUUGACACUGAACAUUGAGCCUUGAUGUGUAGGAUAGGUGGGAGGCUUUGAAGUGUGGACGCCAGUCUGCAUGGAGCCGACCUUGAAAUACCACCCUUUAAUGUUUGAUGUUCUAACGUGGACCCGUGAUCCGGGUUGCGGACAGUGUCUGGUGGGUAGUUUGACUGGGGCGGUCUCCUCCUAAAGAGUAACGGAGGAGCACGAAGGUUGGCUAAUCCUGGUCGGACAUCAGGAGGUUAGUGCAAUGGCAUAAGCCAGCUUGACUGCGAGCGUGACGGCGCGAGCAGGUGCGAAAGCAGGUCAUAGUGAUCCGGUGGUUCUGAAUGGAAGGGCCAUCGCUCAACGGAUAAAAGGUACUCCGGGGAUAACAGGCUGAUACCGCCCAAGAGUUCAUAUCGACGGCGGUGUUUGGCACCUCGAUGUCGGCUCAUCACAUCCUGGGGCUGAAGUAGGUCCCAAGGGUAUGGCUGUUCGCCAUUUAAAGUGGUACGCGAGCUGGGUUUAGAACGUCGUGAGACAGUUCGGUCCCUAUCUGCCGUGGGCGCUGGAGAACUGAGGGGGGCUGCUCCUAGUACGAGAGGACCGGAGUGGACGCAUCACUGGUGUUCGGGUUGUCAUGCCAAUGGCACUGCCCGGUAGCUAAAUGCGGAAGAGAUAAGUGCUGAAAGCAUCUAAGCACGAAACUUGCCCCGA
rnacentral:rRNA from 1 species